AUGGUUUGGAGAGGGGAAGGGUUUGGUUUGGAGCUGGAGAGGGGAAGGGUUUGGUUUGGAGCUAGAGAGAGAGAGGGGAAUGGUUUGGAGAGGGGAAGGGUUUGGAGCUGGAGAGGGGAAGGGUUUGGUUUGGAGCUGGAGAGAGAGGGGAAUGGUUUGGAGAGGGGAAGGGUUUGGUUUGGAGCUGGAGAGAGAGAGGGGAAGGGUUUGGUUUGGAGCUGGAGAGAGAGGGGAAGGGUUUGGUUUGGAGCUGGAGAGAGAGGGGAAGGGUUUGGUUUGGAGCUGGGGAGGGAGAGGGGAAGGGUUUGGUUUGGAGCUGGAGAGAGAGAGGGGAAGGGUUUGGUUUGGAGCUGGAGAGAGAGGGGAAGGGUUUGGUUUGGAGCUGGAGAGAGAGAGAGAGAGAGAGGGUUUGGUUUGGAGCUAGAGAGAGAGAGGGGAAUGGUUUGGAGAGGGGAAGGGUUUGGUUUGGAGCUGGAGAGGGGAAGGGUUUGGUUUGGAGCUAGAGAGAGAGAGGGGAAUGGUUUGGAGAGGGGAAGGGUUUGGUUUGGAGCUAGAGAGAGAGAGGGGAAUGGUUUGGAGAGGGGAAGGGUUUGGUUUGGAGCUGGAGAGGGGAAGGGUUUGGUUUGGAGCUGGAGAGGGGAAGGGUUUGGUUUGGAACGAGAGAGAAGGGAAGGGUUUGGUUUGGAACGAGAGAGAAGGGAAGGGUUUGGUUUGGAACGAGAGAGAAGGGAAGGGUUUGGUUUGGAACGAGAGAGAAGGGAAGGGUUUGGUUUGGAACGAGAGAGAAGGGAAGGGUUUGGUUUGGAACGAGAGAGAAGGGAAGGGUUUGGUUUGGAACGAGAGAGAAGGGAAGGGUUUGGUUUGGAACGAGAGAGAAGGGAAGGGUUUGGUUUGGAACGAGAGAGAAGGGAAGGGUUUGGAGCUGGAGAGAGAGGGGUAGGGUUUGGUGCUGGAGAGAGAGGGGUAUCAGGCUAUAAUGCCACUGCAAACAGCACACAGGUUGGAUUCCUGUCGGACUAUGCUGCUAACCCACUCCAGAUCUUACAAAUGCCUGGAUAUCAGCUAACCCACAUCACCUGA
rnacentral:lncRNA from 1 species